GGAGCAUUUUCAGAAACAGCCAGUUGUUUUAGACAAAGCUAAUACGUAUUUAACCUGUGACACCGUGCUUUAAACCUUUAAAAUAAUGUCACUGGAAUCAUUAAAUAACUUACCUUCUGGAAGGAAUAAUGCAUUGGAAUCACUCAGGCUGCGGGCUCAGGCUAAUGACAUGAGACUGUCUCACCUUCAGGAACUCGUAAGGCUAAGUUCUGAGCCCGAGAGUACAAGUACUACUGAGCUGUCUACUGAGCUGUCUGCCGUUACAAGGGACAGAGAUAAAAUCAGAGAAGAGUAUGAGGACAGUAAGAGAGCUCACGGGGAAGAGAUCAAAAAAAUGUGUGAAAAAAACACAGAACUCAGAACAGGGUACGAAAAUAUAAAAAGAAAAAACGCAGAACUCAGAAGAGGGUACAAAAAUAUUACAAAAGAAAACACAGAACUCAGGGAAGAAAACGCAGAACUCAGAAGAGGGUACGAAAAUAUUACAAAAAAAACCGCAGAACUCGGGGAACAAAAUGCAGAACUCAGAAGAGCGUACGAAAAUAUUACAAAAGAAAACGCAGAACUCAGGGAAGAAAAUGCAAAACUCAGAAGAGGGUACGAAAAUAUUACAAAAGAAAACGCAGAACUCAGGGAAGACAACGCAGAACUCAGAAGAGGGUACGAAAAUAUUACAAAAGAAAUCACAGAACUCAGGAAAACUGUGGAAAAUCAUCAGCGCCUAGUGGAAGAAGCGCAGUGUAUAAUAAAUAGAAAUGCUCCUGAACCUGAGGAGGCUGAGACCCAUGGUUCGUGGUGUCAUGGUGCCAAACACCUGCUUAAAGUAGGUCUUGCCACAGCGGCCAUUGUUGUUCCUGCAGCUUGCUGGGCCAUCUCAAAGCUUUUUGGCUGAAGUGAAUGUCCCGCUCUGUGGGAUCAUGAUUCCAAAGAGCGGGGAUCGCUACACAUCCACAAUUACAGUAGGGCUGUAAUUGUGGAUGUGGACCAGUUACCCUUUAAAAACAGUAAUGAUGUUUUCCAGCCACAUCCUGGCGUUGUUCCCGCUGGUGCAGGGUCCGCUCUUUGCGAAGGUUUCUCCAUUUGGUUCUGUCCAAGGCGUCCUCAGGUGAUGCGUUGACAGUCUUAAUGUCUUCCUUGAUUUUGUCCAUCCACCGUUUCUUCGGUCUGCCUCGAGGCCGGCGUCCUUCUGGGUCGAUCCUCAUAGCCGUUUUUGCUACAGAGUUCUCGUGUCCAUACCACCUCAGGUGGGACUCGAGCAUCUUUUGGACUCGAGCCACAGCCCACCAACCUGUCAUAAAUACGCUGUGCUCUCCUUUAUGUUUGAUUUUAUUUUGCCCCUCACCCCCCAACCCCCAACCAGUCAUGGCAGAAGACCGCCCCUCCCUGAGCCUGGUUCUGCCAGAGGUUUCUUCCUGUUAAAAGGGAGUUUUUCCUCUCCACCGUUGCCAGAGUGCUUGCUCAUAGGGGAUCAUUUGAUUGUUGGGG
ensembl:lncRNA